UUCCUCACCAGGCUUCCUGGAUUCACCAACACGAAGAUAUCAAAUGCAGAAUUUACAUUUGCACCGUGGACACCUUUUCCUACCAAGAGGUUCAAAUUUUACUGCAAAAUCAACGAGUUCUUGGUGGUGUUGGUAUGGCAUAAGAUCCAAUGGUGGCACGUAUAAGUGGAAAGAAACUUUAAUGGAAGACAUGAGCUUUUGCCAGUGUCCUCUGGAGGGUGUUGAACAUUUUGCAGAACAAUACUUGAUUUGCUAUCUGACGGUAGGGGACGAUCCCUCGACUUCGUUGUCGCCACCAAGAUACACUGACUGGCCUAGAUCUGACCUGUUACCAGUAGAUGCCUACAACCAUGCCAGGUUAAAAGCCCCCUUUCAGAGUUCUGUCGUAUGGUGUCCGACCAUCUUUUGGCUGAAGGGGAACUACCAAUUUACAUUAUCUUGCCCGGUGUCUGCCUCCUCAUUUUGAUAUGGAUGAAGCAGACAACUCCAAGGCUUAGCUAAUGCUAUAGUAAAGUUGUGGGAGAAAAGUUCUAUUGCUAAAAUUGCUUUGAAGGGAGGAGUAUAGCUUACCACAAGUGAGAGGAUGUCGAAGAUAUUAAA